UACGGAGGGGGCGAGCGUUAUUCGGAAUUAUUGGGCGUAAAGGGCGCGUAGGCGGCCUUGUAAGUCAAAGGUGAAAUCCCUCGGCUCAACUGAGGAACUGCCUUUGAAACUGCAAGGCUUGAGGCCGGGAGGGGGUAGCGGAAUUCCCAAUGUAGCGGUGAAAUGCGUAGAUAUCAGGAAGAACACCCGUGGCGAAGGCGGCUCUCUGGGACGGUACUGACGCUGAGACGCGAAAGCGUGGGGAGCGAACAGG
rnacentral:rRNA from 1 species